rnacentral:lncRNA from 1 species
CGAGGGGAGGAGGGUCCGGUUGGGCACAGGCAAUCGAUGCCCUCUGCUACCAAGUCUAGUUCAUUCGUAACUGCAGCGGACGUCUCAGCUGCUGAUCCCGUCCUCUCAGGGGUCGGUCACCUUAAUAUUGUGUGACCAGGACCAUCCCAACAGCAUCUGGCCCGCAGGAGCAAGGGUUUGAAUAAUUAAAAUCCCAUUCGUCGGUUUAUUAAAAAUCCCAAUAUUGACUCGGGGUCGGGCCGCCGGGCUAGGAGCGAGGGCUCUGAGCGUCUCGCGAAAGCCCCGGUCCGGCCGGGCCCUGUGAUCUCCGGAGGGCUCUGGGUCCCCAGGCUCUCCUGCCCUGGGGUCCUGUUCCUCUUUAGCCUCCUCCGCGACAGGCGUUGAGGGACUAGAGAGAGAGAAAGUUCUUACCUGACAUGUUUGUAAGCCUAUCAAAUCCUAUUUUACAGGAUCUUAAGAAAACCAAGGUGUUUUAAAAUGUCAUUUCUUCAGAUGCGUUGGGCUGAAUUCCGGCCCUGCACGUAGAUUCUAGGAGUUACGUCCCAGAAAUCAGAGCGCAUUCGUGGAGAUGUGGCUAGUUCUGUGAGACAGAUGGAGUGCCCCAAACAGAGACCCGAUCCAGGCAAUCGUGGGUACACGAAGGCAGGCCGCUGGCUGCGGGUCUCCAGAUUUGCCCGUAACUUUAUCACAAUGAAGAGGGCACACAAUGUGUCCCUACUGCAGUAUAUACAGAGUUGGUAAAUUAAGGACAAGAAGGGAAGAGAAAGACAAAGAAGAAAGGAAAAGCAAGCAGAUACAGUCCUGGUCCAGCCCUGCUGACUUCUGCUAGUGGUGUUAGGAUGAAGUUGUCUCCACUUAAGGAAAUGCUAGGGAUGUACUGCAUGUACAUGUGUACUAUAUUUAUAACGAUGCUUGUCACCCUAAUGUAUGGAAGUUAGAACACCCUCCACAUAAAGAGCUGGCAAAAUGCAAACAAAUAUGUCACAGCCCUCACUUGUAUUAACUAGACUUGAUAUAGAAGCCAAAAACCCCAC